GUUGCCGUGGCCGAGUGGUUAAGGCGAUGGACUUGAAAUCCAUUGGGAUUUUCCCCGCAUAGUUUCAAAUCCUGCCGACAAUG